UAAAGAAUCUGCAUAUUAAAAUUCACUUUUAAAGGGGUUCACUAUUAUUAUGUGUACGUAUGUAGUUAUGAGAGCGAAGGCGGUGCCGGUUUUUGUCUCACUACUGUAUACGAGUCCUCGCAGGUAUAAAUCGGCAACGACCUUCCUUCCUCCGCCGACUUUUGCUUUCCAAGCCCAUCCAUUCCAGGCUCUUCGCACUGAGCCCGAAUCGCGCCCAAAUAGCUCGGAGGCGACUCCUCUCUCGUGCGAACCGAACCGAUCUCCUCCGCAGAAGCUCAAAAAUUCCCGCGCCCAAGCCAUCGCGUUCUCCGAGAAGUAGGGUUUCCUCCUCCCCCCCUCUCUCCGAUCAUUUGCGUGAUAUAUACCUGUUGUGAGUGGAAAUAGAUGAGUAGGAGGUACGUGAGAUUAUUUGGGUGCGCCAAGAUUCUUGAUGCGUAAGAGAAAAUGAUUUGAAAAGGUAGACUCCACCGGAGGCAUUGUUGAUUGCGGAAUUGGUAUGGAUACCGAAUCUUCACCACGUCUAGCAGCAAUCAGGGAGGCCCAGGCCAAGUUGAGGCAGGAGUGUGAUGCACUUGACGAACGAAGAAGGGAAAUAGAGUUUCUUGAGAAAGUAAUAUUCUUGAAUCGCCUUU